rnacentral:rRNA from 1 species
GAUGAACGCUAGCGAUAGGCUUAACACAUGCCAGUCGAGGGGCAGCAUGGUCUUAGCUUGCUAAGACUGAUGGCGACCGGCGCACGGGUGCGUAACGCGUAUGCAACUUGCCUCACAGAGGGGGAUAACCCGUCGAAAGACGGACUAAUACCGCGUACACUUGGGAUAGGGCAUCCUGACCCAAGGAAAUGAAAUUCGCUGUGAGAUAGGCAUGCGUCCCAUUAGCUAGUUGGUGAGGUAACGGCUCACCAAGGCGACGAUGGGUAGGGGAACUGAGAGGGUGAACCCCCACACUGGUACUGAGACACGGACCAGACUCCUACGGGAGGCAGCAGUGAGGAAUAUUGGUCAAUGGGCGAGAGCCUGAACCAGCCAAGUCGCGUGAAGGAUGACUGUCUUAUGGAUUGUAAACUUCUUUUAUACGGGAAUAACAAGAGCCACGUGUGGCUCCCUGCAUGUACCGUAUGAAUAAGCAUCGGCUAACUCCGUG